CGGCGUCCAUCUCAAUAAAGACCAUUAUAUUCUGUCCCGAUGCCUGGGCAGCAGGAGAGGGUGUUUAACUACAAGCAGCGAAACAUUGCAGCAGCAGCAGAAUUAAACCGCCGAGGACUUUAUUCAACAAGGCGACCCCAAGGUUGUAAAACACUGCUGUAAUCCAUCUUACCAGCACAUUAAUGGAUUCAAUGACAUCAAUAAAGACUUCGUUCUUCUUGUAUUUGAUGCCCUCUGACCUCCAGGAGACAGCAUUGGUGACAGUUGUUGGUACCUUGGACUUUGCCACCUCCAGCUUCGCACCUUCUUGAGUGAUGUAUCUGCAGAGAAUAAAGCGUCAAGAAAAGAACACCACAUGUCAAGCACGAACACAGCGGAGACGGACAUGGUGGUUUUUAUUCCUCGAACAGCGGCACUGAACAGGCGACUUUGCGCGAUAAGUAAAACUCAAAUUAAAAUGUUUACUAGCGUGUCUGUGGCCUCUCCAUUUAACACCAAAGUUGAAAGUCUGGACCGCAGAAGAACAAGAAGCUACUCCAACGCUCUUUCUCUUACUGGAGAUAUCGUGACGUCAACGCAGGCAGGUGACACAUUUACCAGCCCUCACCUGAGCUGCUUUGGAAAUGUGGUUAUCUGAUUAUCCACGAGAGGGCGUCGCAGACUCAAAAGACCCCUUUCUAUUUAGGAGCUGACCUGCGUUGAAGCAGCACGGGAAGGAGUCAUUCAAUUGGUCACUCUGAAGGU